rnacentral:rRNA from 1 species
CCUACGGGUGGCAGCAGUGGGGAAUAUUGGGCAAUGGAGGCAACUCUGACCCAGCAACGCCGCGUGAAUGAUGAAGGUCUUCGGAUUGUAAAGUUCUGUGAUGGGGGAUGAACAAAAUGACGGUACCCCAAUAGCAAGCCACGGCUAACUACGUGCCAGCAGCCGCGGUAAUACGUAGGAGGCGAGCGUUAUCCGGAAUGACUGGGCGUAAAGGGUGCGUAGGUGGUUUGGCAAGUUAGUAGCGUAACUCCAAGGCUCAACCUUGGAACUACUACUAAAACUGUUGGACUUGAGUGCAGGAGGGGCAACCGGAAUUCCUAGUGUAGCGGUGGAAUGCGUAGAUAUUAGGAGGAACACCAGUGGCGAAGGCGGGUUGCUAGACUGUAACUGACACUGAGGCACGAAAGCGUGGGGAGCAAACAGGAUUAGAUACCCGUGUAGUC